rnacentral:rRNA from 1 species
UACGUAGGGGGCAAGCGUUGUCCGGAAUUAUUGGGCGUAAAGAGCGUGUAGGCGGCCAGACAGGUCCGUUGUGAAAACUCGAGGCUCAACCUCGAGACGUCGAUGGAAACCGUCUGGCUAGAGUCCGGAAGAGGAGAGUGGAAUUCCUGGUGUAGCGGUGAAAUGCGCAGAUAUCAGGAGGAACACCAAUGGCGAAGGCAGCUCGCUGGGACGGUACUGACGCUGAGACGCGAAAGCGUGGGGAGCAAACAGG